UACGAAGGGGGCUAGCGUUGCUCGGAAUGACUGGGCGUAAAGGGCGCGUAGGCGGCGAUCAAGGUCAGAUGUGAAAUUCCUGGGCUUAACCUGGGGGCUGCAUUUGAUACGUGUGGGCUUGAGUGCGGAAGAGGGUCGUGGAAUUCCCAGUGUAGAGGUGAAAUUCGUAGAUAUUGGGAAGAACACCGGUGGCGAAGGCGGCGACCUGGUCCGUGACUGACGCUGAGGCGCGAAAGCGUGGGGAGCAAACAGG
rnacentral:rRNA from 1 species